rnacentral:tRNA from 1 species
GGGAUUGUGGCUCAGUGGCAGAGCACUCGCCUAGCACGCAUGGGACCUGGGUUCGAUCCUCAGCACCA